rnacentral:rRNA from 1 species
CAGCUGGCUGCAACUGUUUAAUAAAAACACAGCACUGUGCAAACACGAAAGUGGACGUAUACGGUGUGACGCCUGCCCGGUGCUGGAAGGUUAAUUGAUGGGGUCAGCCGCAAGGCGAAGCUCUUGAUCGAAGCCCCAGUAAACGGCGGCCGUAACUAUAACGGUCCUAAGGUAGCGAAAUUCCUUGUCGGGUAAGUUCCGACCUGCACGAAUGGCGUAAUGAUGGCCAGGCUGUCUCCACCCGAGACUCAGUGAAAUUGAACUCGCUGUGAAGAUGCAGUGUACCCGCGGCAAGACGGAAAGACCCCGUGAACCUUUACUAUAGCUUGACACUGAACAUUGAGCCUUGAUGUGUAGGAUAGGUGGGAGGCAUAGAAGUGUGGACGCCAGUCUGCAUGGAGCCAACCUUGAAAUACCACCCUUUAAUGUUUGAUGUUCUAACUCGGCCCCGUAAUCCGGGGUGAGGACAGUGUCUGGUGGGUAGUUUGACUGGGGCGGUCUCCUCCCAAAGAGUAACGGAGGAGCACGAAGGUUAGCUAAUCACGGUCGGACAUCGUGAGGUUAGUGCAAAGGCAUAAGCUAGCUUGACUGCGAGAGUGACGGCUCGAGCAGGUACGAAAGUAGGUCUUAGUGAUCCGGUGGUUCUGAAUGGAAGGGCCAUCGCUCAACGGAUAAAAGGUACUCCGGGGAUAACAGGCUGAUACCGCCCAAGAGUUCAUAUCGACGGCGGUGUUUGGCACCUCGAUGUCGGCUCAUCACAUCCUGGGGCUGAAGUAGGUCCCAAGGGUAUGGCUGUUCGCCAUUUAAAGUGGUACGCGAGCUGGGUUUAGAACGUCGUGAGACAGUUCGGUCCCUAUCUGCCGU